CGUUCACGCACGCGUAGGCAGUCACGCACCUUCCCCAAUUCCCCAACUUCUUCUCAGUCUCAGCAUGUAGCCACGCGCCCACGCCGCCGACGCUGACCGCGGUGGACAGGGAGGGAGCACCGUCCACCGGAGUGCUGCCCGCUGUCUAGCGGAGCAACCGCCGCGGCGACGCCCGCCUGGAUCUUGCCUCGCCCUCGCCGCCUCGGCCCUACCCUGCCCCUCCAGCCCCUGCUCCCACCGCUCAUCGUCCACCGACCACCGGCGUGCGUGCUGCCGGGUGCCGGCCAUCCAAUCUUGCGGCUGGGUGUUCUCCUCCAACUCCAUGGUUGGCGCAUGAUCUGAGCGAGCCCCUUCGGUGUUCUGUCGCUGGUGUACACAUGAAUUAGCCUCCCCGCAUCACACUUUACACAGCAGCAGCUAGCUAGCAGGUAGUCAUGGGCAAGGAAAAUCAGACUCAGAGAAGAAUCGAUUUGGUUUUCAAAAGGAAAAGAGAUGGCAUAAGUGAAGUUGAGGAAGACUUUGUAUUGCCCUUGCUUGAAUUGGAACAACAACAGACUGAACAACAACAUAACCAAGAUGGAGGAGUUCGAACAAAUGAAGCAGUUACAUUCCUAGGCAUUGAGUUCUUGCAGCGAGACCCUGGAUUGCGCCCUCAAAUUUGGCAAUAUCCAACAAAAUGGAGAGAUACUGUGAUGAGAGCAUAUUUGAUGUUAGGUCCUAUGCAACCCCGUCCGGAGAACUAUAAACCUUCAGGUGAACCAGGGCAUCAGCGCCGCUUCCAGUAUAGUUGGUUUGGUGAUUUUCCAUCAUGGCUAGAGUACUCAGAGGACAAAAAUUUCUAGUGUGUGAGCAGGACUGUAUGUGAGUAAGUCCAAUUGUACUGUCUCAACACUUUUGUAUUAGAUAACUUAAUAGUGGAGUUGAUUUCUAGAAUGUAAGCAGGACUGUAUGUGCUGUCUCUACACUUUUGUGUUAGAUAACUUAAUGUACUUGAUGGUUGAACUGUA